GGCAUGGUCUGAUAAUUCAGAAACUCCUCACCCAGGUGGUCAUGCUCCUCUGGCCCAUGGUAUGGGAGGAGAUGGGGAAACCUAUUUAUGAAAGUAGAGUUACAGGUUGUUAAGUUAUAGGUAUAUUUAGAACGCCGUCUCACAGAAGCAAAAACUAUGUUCAAAUUAGUACUACUGCUAACACUUCAAUAGCUAAUCGUAUCAAACGAACAAUUACAAAAAUACUGUACUGUAGUUCUAUAUGUUUUCAAUGGAGCUUCUAAACGAUCAAACCUUGAACCGCUUAAUACGUAGCAAGUACAACAACCAUGGUAGUGUAGCUACCAUUGCUACGAGUUUAAUGGUAGGUAGCCUAACUAUACAGCUAAUUAAGGUAGCCUAGCUAACUAGCCAACUACAGUUUCGAAAAAAAUUACUUGCGCUGUGGAGACCGUCAGAAAAACUUGGAACGCACUAAUUAAAACAACACAAUUACAUCCACAAUGACAUGUAAAUAUACAAUAACCCAACCGUACAGGUACGUAGAGUACGUUAAUUUGAAACGCCGUCCACAGAAGCAAAAACUAGCCUAUAUGUUAAGGUUUGUAGUUAUACUACUAGCUUGCUAUGCUACCAUACAACAUACUUUCUACUAGCAAAGAUGAAUUAUUUACUGUGUCGUCUCAGUUACACUAUCAAACCUUGGAAAUACUGUGACUUGCUCAAGUAACGAAAUGGCUAAUAGAACAUCACAUUUCAUAAUUAUUUCAGUGAAUGAAACAGCUCCAAGACCCAGUGAAAUAUUAAAUACAGCUAACUUACAUUAGAUAGCUACAACAGCACGGAGUCACAAAGUGAUACUGGAACAAGUCAAUAAAACACUUAAUUUGUAUUCAUCAACGCAAACGAACUGUGUUAAACUUCUGGCCUUUGGUUAAAUCACUUUCUGAACACAAUUCCUCAAAAUGUACCUAUCGGUACCAAAGUUGCCUUCUCCCUAAUGCUAGAUAACUAUCCAGCUAACUAAGCUAGCUACCAUUUCGACCCAAAACAUAUGCGCUACCUCAAAUACACUAACCAAGAAUAAAAACAGAAUAAAAUCGUCUUGCAGUUAUCAUACGAAUUAAACAGUAAUAAGUAUGCUUUUAUUACUUACGGUCAAAUGUAGACGAAAAUCUUCUCCACACCAGAAAUCGUCCUCUUCUCUCGUAUCCACAAAAUAGUCUCAAUAAAAUUGUGUCUGUCCGUCUCCAUUCAGAACAGCACGUCAACCAUUGGCUGCCUAUAAACUCCUGGGUCCUAAAGCUACCCGGCUACAUAUUCACCAUUCGCGUUAGCGAUUAAUGCAAUUUGCUUUAUAUCAAUCAUUUUUGAAGAUAUGAAGUUGCCUUUGCACAUGGGGACAUGUUGUAGUGUCUUCCACGUGCAUACCAAGUUUGGUGUUGAUAUCUGAAAGAUUUGCUGAGGUAUGACUUUACUUCCUGUUUGGCAUCUUUUCUGCUGAAUUUCAGUGGCUGUACCGGCCAAACGGUUGUGAGGAUCAAAAUUCUGUUGGAGAACUUUUGUGAGGCUUGGUCUGAAGAUC
ensembl:lncRNA